CCAAGUUCGAGAGCCUGCCCUUAUCACACCAAACAACAUGCAGUGCGCGCUCAAUUCAAACUGCCUGUCUGUCACUGUGUCAGACCGUCGCAGACAAAGUCAGCUGGUUCUAGGUUACAGUUACGGUAACUCGUCCGUGGUUACUGUAUAUGACACGUCGAGACCAUCCGGUCAAGUUAUCGUUAACAUAUGAAAAUGAUUACCCGAGGAGCACUUGUUGUCCUUAUUUUAAUCGCUUGUGCCUCACAAUUACAGGCAUCUGCAGAGAACGAAAACGCUGAAGGUGAAGGGUACAUCCAAGACACGGAAGAGUCGACAGAGUCCUUGUUUAUGCACGAUUACCUUUACCUGUAUGAAGACACGCGUAAAAAGGAAGCAAGGGCAGUGUCCCAAGAUCAGAUGCCACCUGAACACAUAAGGCAACUUGAAAUUACAACCUAUCUUCAUACAGCACUAUAUUGCAUUGUGUUGGUGUAUGGACUUCUGCACUUGCCGAUUUGGCAGAGGAUGUACUACAAAUUCAACAAAGCUCCAGAGGCAGCAGAACCUGAAGAGGACGGCAUAAAAGAAGAAGAGGCUAGCAAAUUGAAGAGAAAGUCAGUUGCAGCUAAAGAAAUGUCCUGAUUCCUUGAUGUGUUAUGUUGAAGAGAAGAUGUAUACAGUACAUGGAGAAACGUUCCCAGGACAACAUUAUAUUUUAAUUUGUAGGCCUACUUGUUUGCCUUUUUAAUAAAACUCAGAAGAAUUUGAAA